rnacentral:rRNA from 1 species
UACGGGAGGCAGCAGUGGGGAAUAUUGCACAAUGGGCGAAAGCCUGAUGCAGCUAUGCCGCGUGUAUGAAGAAGGCCUUAGGGUUGUAAAGUACUUUCAUCGGGGAGGAAAAAACAAAACUAAUAAUUUUAUUUCUUGACGUUACCCGAAAAAGAAGCACCGGCUAACUCCGUGCCAGCAGCCGCGGUAAUACGGAGGGUGCUAGCGUUAAUCAGAAUUACUGGGCGUAAAGAGCACGUAGGUGGUUUUUUUAAGUCAGAUGUGAAAUCCCUGGGCUUAACCUGGAACUGCAUUUUGAAACUGAAAUACUAGAGUAUCGUAGAGGGAGGUAGAAUUCUAGGUGUAGCGGUGAAAUGCGUAGAUAUCUGGAGGAAUACCUGUGGCGAAAGCGGCCUCCUAAACGAAUACUGACACUGAGGUGCGAAAGCGUGGGGAGCAAACAGGGAUUAGAUACCCGU